AUUGAACGCUGGCGGCAGGCCUAACCCAUGCAAGUCGAACGAGUGGCGGACGGGUGAGUAAUGUCUGGGAAACUGCCUGCUGGAGGGGGAUAACUACUGGAAACGGUAGCUAAUACCGCAUACCAUCAGAUGUGCCCAGAUGGGAUUAGCUAGUUGGUGGGGUAACCGCUCACCACGGCUACGAUCCCUAGCUGGUCUGAGAGGAUGACCAGCCAAAAGGGAACGGAGACACGGUCCAGACUACUACGGGAGGCAGCAGUGGGGAAUAUGGCAAAAUGGGCGCAAGCCUGAUGCAGCCAUGCCGCGUGUAUGAAGAAGGCCGUCGGGUUGUAAAGUACGUUCAGCGGGGAGGCGUUACCCGCAGAAGAAGCACCGGCUAACUCCGUGCCAGCAGCCGCGGUAAUAC
rnacentral:rRNA from 1 species